CACGCCGUAAACGGUGGGCGCUAGGUGUGGGGAUUGUUUCCACGAUCUCCGUGCCGUAGCUAACGCAUUAAGCGCCCCGCCUGGGGAGUACGGCCGCAAGGCUAAAACUCAAAGGAAUUG
rnacentral:rRNA from 1 species